ACCCAAAUAGGAAACCUCGAAGCGCGCAAAGCCUCGGCUUGCUAAGCCGAAGGUCCCGGGUUCGAUUCCCGUUUUGGGUC
rnacentral:tRNA from 1 species